rnacentral:ribozyme from 11 species
UUUUUUUUUUUUUUUUUUUUUUUUUUUUUCACCGUUGACUCUCUCACCCUAUAUGCGUUACUUUA